AUUGAACGCUGGCGGCAUGCCUUACACAUGCAAGUCGAACGGCAGCGGGCCUUCGGGUGCCGGCGAGUGGCGAACGGGUGAGUAAUGCAUCGGAACGUGCCAUUGAGUGGGGGAUAACGUAGCGAAAGUUACGCUAAUACCGCAUAUUCUGUGAGCAGGAAAGCAGGGGACCGCAAGGCCUUGCGCUCUUUGAGCGGCCGAUGUCAGAUUAGCUAGUUGGUGAGGUAAAGGCUUACCAAGGCGACGAUCGUGUAGCGGGUCUGAGAGGAUGAUCCGCCACACUGGAACUGAGACACGGUCCAGACUCCUACGGGAGGCAGCAGUGGGGAAUUUUGGACAAUGGGCGCAAGCCUGAUCCAGCCAUGCCGCGUGAGUGAAGAAGGCCUUCGGGUUGUAAAGGCUCUUUCGGCCGGGAAGAAAUCGCAUGGGUUAAGUACCCUGUGUGGAUGACGGUACCGGAAUAAGAAGACACCGGCUAACUACGUGCC
rnacentral:rRNA from 1 species